CGCUAUCAUCCUACGGGAGGCAGCAGUGGGGAAUAUUGCACAAUGGGCGCAAGCCUGAUGCAGCCAUGCCGCGUGUAUGAAGAAGGCCUUCGGGUUGUAAAGUACUUUCAGCAGUGAGGAAGGUGGUAGUGUUAAUAGCACUAUCAUUUGACGUUAGCUGCAGAAGAAGCACCGGCUAACUCCGUGCCAGCAGCCGCGGUAAUACGGGAGGGUGCGAGCGUUAAUCGGAAUUACUGGGCGUAAAGCGCAUGCAGGUGGUUUGUUAAGUCAGAUGUGAAAGCCCGGGGCUCAACCUCGGAAUUGCAUUUGAAACUGGCAGACUAGAGUACUGUAGAGGGGGUAGAAUUUCAGGUGUAGCGGUGAAAUGCGUAGAGAUCUGAAGGAAUACCGGUGGCGAAGGCGGCCCCCUGGACAGAUACUGACACUCAGAUGCGAAAGCGUGGGGAGCAAACAGGAUUAGAUACCCUGGUAG
rnacentral:rRNA from 1 species